ACCUAGCUGGCUUGUUUGGAAGAGCAUGUGACUCUUGAUCUUAGGAUUUUGAGUUCAAGCCCCACGCUGGGUA
rnacentral:tRNA from 1 species